AAUGUAACAAAUAUAUAAAAUGUCUGUGCUCACUCAUUAACAGAAAAUCAAAAGCUGUUCGCCCUUCUAAGCACAAGCACACAUCAGCUGAACGUUACCUGAAAUCUAAACUAUUUUGCAACAUCUUUCCAGCAACAUUAUCUACUGCGAUACAAUACCGCACUAGAAGCCUCAAUUGGCUGUCGUUGGUAACAUUUCAGAUUACCACCGUAAUUACGUUGGGAAUUUGAUCGAAGCUCGAAACAACUAAAUUUUGAUUGGACCAGUUUCGAACAAUUUGUGAACAUUAAAUGGUCCAUCUCUAUAAUUUCGGCAAGCAUAUUCGAUCGGACAUUUUCCAACAGUAACAACAUACGUCAUUCCUUCAAGUAUCGACACAUAAAACCACUUGCUUGCUGCCGCAAAACUGCAAUGCAACAAUCGAAAUUGCUUCGUUUCGCUACUUGCAACAUACAUAUGAAUGCGCCUCAUGAGCCAGGGGUGCCAUUCACGAGACAGACAACCGUGCAAACAGUGCGCUGGCAAUCGUUAUACCAUCACCAAUCCCGUCGAAAUUGUGAUCGUUGUUGAUAAAUGUUGAUGCCUCUUGCCUGAACAACCGUGAAUAGGCCAAAAGUCGGCCAUCGUAUCCGAGUUCCCGUGAAGCCCGCCAUCCCACAAAAGUGACAGUGAAGCCGUAAGACGGCCGGUUGGACAUUGAAACCGGUUCAGUGGAAGCGGAUUAGCGGGUUAGGAAAACCCUCUUCGGCGAAGGACCUGGCGAGGAGCGUCGACCGUCCAAUUGUCUGGACUUCCGAAGCCUCUACAACAGUGGUCCUCAGCCUGACUGAUUAUGCGGGCCUAUGCCAAUGCUUUUAAAACAUAGCGCGGGCCGCAAGAAAUGAAUAAACUUAUUUAAACGGCUACCAAUGGGAUUAAAAAAAAAAUAUCUUUAGUGGAUGUUGCACUAAAAAUUCUCGUGCAGAAGAUCUUGAAAACACUUUGAACAACCGUGAAUAGGCCAAAAGUCGGCCAUCGUAUCCGAGUGCCCGUGAAACCUGCCAUCCCACACAAGUGACAGUGAAGCCGUAAGACGGGCGGUUGGACAUUGAAACCGGUUCAGUAGAAGCGGAUUAGCGGGUUAGGAAAACCCUCUUCGGCGAAGGACCUGGCGAGGAGCGUCGACCGUCCAAUUGUCUGACCUUCGGAAGCCUCUACAACGACCCAUUGGGAAGAAGUGGCUCGAUUGACGGACCGUGAAAUUGCCGCAAUAAUGAAGCUCGCCAAGGAUGCCCCAGUACUAGGGAUGGGCCGAGAUGACCGACGUCCUGCUACCCGAGCCUUGGAUCCAGCUGGCACCAAAAGGUGGUAAAGGUGUGUAGAUCAUUAUUCCCCCAUUCCCCACCAUCAUUUUCCCAAAAAAAAAUAUGAAUGAUAAUUAAAACCAUGAAUUAGA